UCCACCCUCCUAUUAGUAAUCUGAUCGUUCAGUAACCCGUAGCAACUGUUUUUUGCUCGUGAUAUAAAGAUAUAAAGCGGCUAUUUUCUCUUCGGUCGAUCCCGUCAGCGAUGUGGCAUGUUGUUGACUGUUCUGCAGCAGGGCUUCUAUGUCGCUUGUUGACGUCUCUGCGUCGUCAUUGGAACUACACGGAAGUCUACUCCAGUGAAGCUUGCAGUUGCACGGCAGCCAGAAGACAGCUGUGGUCGGAGCAUGGAGAGACCCCGUAUCUGCCGCCUACAUUCAUAAAGUGAGGAGAACUAACUCGGGUGAGCUGUGAAAAUCUCCUCAAGUUCUAAGCGAGGAAUGACCAACAAGUCGAAAAAUUCGUUAAUCACUGGCAUAGAUAAAGCACUCAUCAAGUUUUGAAGUACGAUUU